GCGGGAGGAAAGGCCUGCGGGCGGCCGCAGGAGCCAGGACGACGGUCGGACGCUCCGGCGGCGCGGGGUCCUGCGGGCCCGAGGGGUGGGAGGUGCUCAAGGGAACACGCGCCGCUUCGGGCGAGGCUGUGCUGUAGCCGCUUUCGUGGACGUUGCCCAGUCCCGCUGCUCGCGUUCCUGCUCUGCAGCCACGGCGCGCUGGUGGUCCGGGCGACCGGCGCCUCCAAACUCCCGUUUCCCGCGCUCUGGGAGCCCUUCUGCGGGCCCGCGUCCCUGCGGGCGCCCGGAGGACGGAGGGCCGAGCCGGGCCAAGCGGUGGCUGGAGCCACAGGUGGGACAUCCCUCGGGGCAGCACAGGUCCCGGGCAUCCGGGCGUGACGCAGCGGGUUGUUCAGAGGAGGGAGAAACCCGCAUCGGUUAGAGCCGCCUGCUGCCCCGCGCGUCCAGUCCUGCCGUCUCUUGUCCUUGUGUCUAAGAGGAAAUCCUAGUGGAGCCCUGUCGGGGCGGGGCCCGGAGUGAGUGCGGUGUCCGAGCACCCAGUCCAGGUGUGCUUGCACGGACAACGCUUACGCGCUGGGGUCCCUAAAUGCUGUGACUUCAUUUUGGGUGCUUAUCAAGGAGAAAGUGGUGGGCCGGUCCCCAGUUCUCAGAAUUGACAUUUUGGCAGAUCAAGUUUGCAAACACGGGAACUGCAUCCCAGAGCCGGUAAUGAGACCACAGACAGCCGCUCCUCCGGUGACCUUUACAGGAGAUGGUGGCGCACAGGGCCUGAAACCAGCUGACCUGGAGUGGCCUUCCCCGUGGUGAACGGCACCAUCAUUUUCUUCCGGACACCAGCGCCACCCAAGUCCCUCCCUCUGAGCAGUGAGGAACCCAGACGCGGUGCAGGUAGACGCCGACACACAGGGCUCCAAAGACAUGAUGCAAAUUCAUGCCGCACAAAACAAGGCACUUUGAGUGGGAAUCUGGUGUGAGGCUUAGAAUUCAUCACCGGACACCGGAAGGGCUCCACUGGGCUGACUCAGGCACUGGCUCCCUGGACUACCACAACAACUAUGUCAAGAGCCCAUAUCUUAAAUCAUCUCAGCAUCCCAACAAACGGACUGUCUCCCCUCUGAGAUGCUCCUCCUUGUGCCAGCGAGGCCGCUGGCUCACCGACUGCUGCAGUUACAACAGAAACAGGCCGAGCACUUAGCUCGAACCCCAGCCGAAACCCAUCUUCCUGAUUCUUGCCACGCUUGCCUGAAGCAAGGACGGCAGCUUCCACCCGCCAGGCCGGAAAAGCCCUGAGCAGCGGAAGCCUAGAAGACACCCGCCCCAUGUCCCCUCCUCAACCAGGACCUCACGCUGAAUGCGUCCCAGCUGUCCCCACCCCGGGAUCACGGGCACCGUGCCUGCUCUCCUGCACGUACCCCCGACCCUUUCCCUGUAAAACCCUCGGGGUCUGUCUUGCCAGCAGAGAGGUAGGAUGUUGAGGCCUGAGCCCGCCACCUCCCGUGUAGCCGGCACCCGAAAUAAAGGGCUCCCUCUCUCCCA
rnacentral:lncRNA from 1 species